GGGAUAAGGCUCUCCGGCAUCUUCAGGAUGCAUUGGCUAAUCAUGACAAAGAACUUGCUGAGAGAGAUGCAGCUCUUAGCGAUUCCAAGCGUCAGAUCAAGAGUGUAGAAAUGAAACUAGAUUCUGCAAAUGCUCGCUACCAAUUAGAGAAAGAAGCAUGGGAAACAAACCUUAAAAAUUUGGAAGACUCGUGGCAAUUGAGAUUUGAGGCAUUGAAGGCAGAAAAGGAAGCAACUUCUGGGCAAGAUAUACGAAAGGAAUUAGAAGAGUUCAAACUACGGUAUAAAAAACUGAAGGAAGAGCAUGACUCAUUUUGUGGCCUUGCUGAUAGAAUGAUUGGGGAGAAAGAUAAAGAAAUCUCUAAACUUGUUGAUGAUAAUAAGAAUCUUCGCUCCUCUCUGGAAUCAAGGCCUCAAGAUAAUCAAAAUGAAAAUAAUAUCACAGCCAUGAAAAAAACAGGAUGCACCAAAUUUAAGCGCCUCUGCUGCAGAACAGCAAAUUCUGCUCUUGGCAAGGCAACAAGCGCAGAGAGAGGAGGAACUGGCACAAUCACAGCGGCAUAUUUUGGCACUUCAAGAGGAAAUUGAGGAACUUGAACGGGAAAAUCGUCUUCGCAGCCAACAGGAAGCCAUGUUGAAGGCUGAGCUACGCAACGUGGAAAGAACACAGAAAAGGGAGGGUGUAGAUAUGACAUAUCUGAAAAAUGUGAUACUGAAACUGCUUGAAACAGGUGAAGUGGAGGCACUAUUGCCUGUGAUCGCAAUGCUUCUGCAAUUCAGUCCUGAAGAGGUGCUGAAAUGUCAACAAGCAUACCGCACAUAUGGUGAUGUUCCACCAAGUCCAGCAAGUGAUACUUCUGGAUCCACGCUCUCACUUUUCUCAAGAUUCUCAUUUUCAUAACACGAGCAGGGACUACCUAGAGAAUUCUUUUGUUGCAGAACUGUCUGCAAAUGCUACCGAGCCACAGCAGUGUUGGGUGCUUGCUAGGAGAUUCAAAGCAGAGGUGACAUCAUAGUAUGUAUUCUUUUUGUAUCACGACCCUUCUUAUCUUUUCAUGCAACCUCUCAAAUAUUGUAAAGAAAAAUCACAUGAGAAUGAUAUGCGAUAACCAUGGAGAGGACAACAUCUUGGCAGCUUUCAGUUACGUUUUGUGGACGAAUUGCCAUGAAGCCCUUUUCUGCUGAGAUGUUUAUUUCCAAAUUUCCUUUCUGACAGCUCAUUGUAUAGGUGCAAAAGAAAAACUUGUUUGA
rnacentral:misc_RNA from 1 species